UUCAGCAGUAUAAGGUCCAGCAU
rnacentral:piRNA from 1 species